GAGCAUAGGCAUGGAGAAAAACUUGUAUAAAAAGCCGUUCUUUUUCAUGAAAAUAUCAUUCUUCAUCUAGCAGUCCUUGCAAACAUAACAAAAAAUGUACCAGAAAUUUUUCCUCUUCGCCGUUCUCUUGGCUAUGAUGGCCAUCGUCUACACCAACUCUCUGCCCACUGCUGAAGAGGGUGAAGAAACUGACCAGACUUUCUGCAAACCAUUUUCUUCAUGCACCAACAGCACCGACUGUUCCAGCAAUCUUAUCUACAAGACUUGCCGCGCAAAUCUCUUUGGAAAUAAACAGUGCUGUUUAUUUUAAACCAAGAAAACAACUAACUAACUGAAAAUCGAGUCCCAGGAUACAUAAGACCCUAUGGAUUCAUUUUGAAUUCAUACUCCAUUGCACGAAAUUGCCCAUUUUAAUUUUGUUCUUUUUUUUUAAAUGAACUUUAUGUGUUUGACGGCACAAAUCUCUGAUUGGUUUCGGAAAAUACAGUUCUAUUAUAGUCCCGCA